AUUGAACGCUGGCGGCAUGCCUUACACAUGCAAGUCGAACGGUAACAGGUCUUCGGAUGCUGACGAGUGGCGAACGGGUGAGUAAUACAUCGGAACGUGCCUAGUAGUGGGGGAUAACUACUCGAAAGAGUGGCUAAUACCGCAUGAGAUCUACGGAUGAAAGCAGGGGAUCGCAAGACCUUGUGCUACUAGAGCGGCCGAUGGCAGAUUAGGUAGGUGGUGGGAUAAAAGCUUACCAAGCCGACGAUCGUUAGCUGGUCUGAGAGGACGAUCAGCCACACUGGGACUGAGACACGGCCCAGACUCCUACGGGAGGCAGCAGUGGGGAAUUUUGGACAAUGGGCGCAAGCCUGAUCCAGCAAUGCCGCGUGCAGGAUGAAGGCCUUCGGGUUGUAAACUGCUUUUGUACGGAACGAAAAGCCCUGGGUUAAUACCCUGGGGUCAUGACGGUACCGUAAGAAUAAGCACCGGCUAACUACGUGCCAGCAGCCGCCGUAACAC
rnacentral:rRNA from 1 species